GCUCAGGGCAAAGUCGUCGUCGGUCCAAGUCGAAUAAAGAAAACGAAGUUCCUCGAUUAAUGGUUUCGCCGACGGUCAUGUGCGUCACUUGCACGACACAGCUGUCUCCAUUCCAAUAUCGUGACGUAACAACAGGAGAAACGUAUGAAGCUCGGGUUGCUUUCCGUGUCUGCGUGAAGCCUGGGUCCUACGGUACUGGAAGAGCCUCCUGCUGUACACAAGAUACAAAUGAAUCGCUAUUAGACCAUAAUCUUGGAACCCAGGAAUUGGAGUGGUAUUUGGAAGAGAAGGGACUGGUAGCACUUACUGCACUACUUAUCAAGAUAGAGCCCACAUAAACAUGAGAGCGCGCGCACCCAAUCCGUGAAACUUAAAGGCCCAGUUUGAACCAUUAUGCUUUGCGCGCCUCUUAUUUUUAUGAUUUACACCAAAAUACUUCUAGUAACCAAAUAUCAUCAUAAAACGAAUUUCAGAUGGUUGAAAACUGUUAUAUUAGCGUUUAAAGUGCUUCGAAAAGUGAGAUGGUCAAAGAUUCGAAACACACUGUACAAUUUAUAGACUUUCGGUAAACUGAAAAUGGCCACCUCCCGGCCCUCGCGGUCCCCAAAGCAUAAUGGUGCACACUGGGCCUUUGAAAAGAACAACUUAGGCGCUAAAUUAUGCUAAAAUUCUUUUUUUUUAUAUUUUCUAAUCAAUACUUUUUGUAGUAAAUGUACUAUUUGUUUCACGGGUCAGGUGCGUCGUAAUUCUCUUAACCAUAAGGUGCCACAAAGGAGGACUCAAUAGAGCAUUAUUUUGGCAUUCAACAAUAUUGCCGGCCGUCUAGUGGACGGUGAAUUGUAUAUUGUGGAAAUACGGUUCUUUUGAUGUAAAAUACAUAGAUCGUGAAGUUAUAGUGAUGUAAGUUUAUCAAGGUAGUGUUAAUAAAGAUAUCAGUUCACUAUUCAA